GAGGAAACUCUGGUGGAAGUCUUGAGCGAUUCUGACGUGCAAAUCGAUCGUCAGACCUGGGUAUAGGGGCGAAAGACUAAUCGAACCAUCUAGUAGCUGGCUUCCUCUGAAGUUUCCCUCAGGAUAGCUGGCACUAAUAGAGAAAAGAUCAAUAGCAUCCGGUAAAGAGAAUGAUUAGAGGUACUGGGAUCGAAACGAUUUCAACCUAUUUUCAAACUUUCAAUGGUUGCGAAGUUUAACUUAUUGAAAAUUUUACUCUCUAAAGUUAAACAUAACAAAAAUUAUAAAAUAAAAAAGUAUGAAUAGUGCCUAGUGGGCCAUUUUUGGUAAGCAGAACUGGCGCUGUGGGAUGAACCAAACGUUAGGUUAAAGCGCCCAAUGCUAACGCUAAUAAGAUUCCAUGAAAGGUGUUGGUUGCUACAGACAGCAGGACGGUGGCCAUGGAAGUUGGAAUCCGCUAAGGAGUGUGUAACAACUCACCUGCCGAAGCAACUAGCCCUGAAAAUGGAUGGCGCUUAAGCGUUGAGCUUAUACCUAACCAUAAUGUCAAUUUAUAAUAGUUGUAUGUAUUAAUUUAAAAGUUGAUAUAUAUAGCUUAAAGAGGAGAAGACAUUAUGAGUAAGAGGAACGCAAUGAUAGCGUCGAAGGGAUUAGAUUUAAGUCUGCCUGGAGCUUUCAUUGUUGCAGAUCUUGGUGGUAGUAGC
rnacentral:rRNA from 1 species